rnacentral:rRNA from 1 species
AGGCUACGACGGAUAACUGGUUUGAGAGGAUGAUCAGUCACACUGGAACUGAGACACGGUCCAGAUUCCUACGGGAGGCAGCAGUGAGGAAUCUUGCACAAUGGGCGAAAGCCUGAUGCAGCGACGCCGCGUGAGGGACGAAGGCNUUCGGGUUGUAAACCUCUGUCAGUGGGGAAGAAGAAUGACGGUACCCACUGAGGAAGCUUCGGCUAACUACGUGCCAGCAGCCGCGGUAAGACGUAGGGAGCAAGCGUUGCCCGGAAUUACUGGGCGUAAAGAGCUCGUAGGCGGGGGCGUGCGUCCGAAAGGAAAUUUCAAGGCUUAACCUUGGGGCUUUUUCGGAUACGGCGCUUCUUGAGGGUGAGAGAGGAAAGUGGAAUUCCAGGUGUAGCGGUGAAAUGCGUAGAUAUCUGGAGGAACACCAGCGGCGAAGGCGACUUUCUGGCUCAUUCCUGACGCUGAGGAGCGAAAGCGUGGGUAGCGAACGGGAUUAGAUACCCCGGUAGUCCACGCCGUAAACGAUGGAUACUAGGUGUAGGAGGUAUCGACCCCUUCUGUGCCGGAGUUAACACAUUAAGUAUCCCGCCUGGGGAGUACGGUCGCAAGGCUGAAACUCAAAUGAAUUGACGG